AACGUAGGUGGCGAGCGUUGUCCGGAUUUAUUGGGCGUAAAGAGCGUGUAGGCGGCCAGGUAGGUCUGCUGUGAAAACUCGAGGCUCAACCUCGAGACGUCGGCGGAAACCAUCUGGCUAGAGUCCGGAAGAGGAGAGUGGAAUUCCUGGUGUAGCGGUGAAAUGCGCAGAUAUCAGGAAGAACACCCGUGGCGAAGGCGGCUCUCUGGGACGGUACUGACGCUGAGACGCGAAAGCGUGGGGAGCGAACAGG
rnacentral:rRNA from 1 species